rnacentral:rRNA from 1 species
AUUCCAGCUCCAAUAGCGUAUAUUUAAGUUGCUGCAGUUAAAAAGCUCGUAGUUGGAUUUCGGGCGGUUGACGACGGUCCGCCGUAAGGUGUGUACUUGGUUGUCUCCAGUCAUCCUUGUGGGAACUGCUCUGGCAUUAAGUUGUCGGGGUUAGGGAACACAUCGUUUACUGUGAAAAAAUUAGAGUGUUUAAAGCAGGCUUAUGCCGUUGAAUACAUUAGCAUGGAAUAAUAAGAUAGGACUUUGGCGUCUAUUUUGUUGGUUUGCACACCAAGGUAAUGAUUAAUAGGGAUAGUUGGGGGUAUCCGUAUUUCGUAGUCAGAGGUGAAAUUCUUGGAUUUACGAAAGACGAACUACUGCGAAAGCAUUUACCAAGGAUGUUUUCAUUA